rnacentral:lncRNA from 1 species
GGCCGUCUAAAUUUAUUAUACACGUCGGCUCCCUUCAUGGAUGCCAAAAAUGUGCAAGAAAAUAAAAAAAACAAAAACAAUUUUUUGUUACACUAGGCAUUCGUCCCUCAAGGCCCCUACGUGUAUAGUGUAUUUACACUUCGGUUGGCAACGUUGGACGCAAAUGGUGUGUGAUAGAAACCCAAAAGUCACUUUAUGCGUG